UUCGCCUUUUUAAAGAUUAGAAGGGUGCAUGGCACAUAGUAGGCACUCAAAAUAAAUUAAACUGUGGCAUAGGAACGAGCAGCUCAGCGUUCUAGGGGGUUGUGUGACCGGGAGCCCUGGACCAGGCGCUAACCUGAGGAGAGGAUACAGGAGAAGGCCUCGCUAGGAGAGUUCUUGUGGAAGGAACGUUGGCCUGGGAGAACCAGAUGCACGAGGGCUAAGGCCUGGGGAGGCGCCAGAUAAAUCCGGUUUCCGCGCGCGGACUCCCUGAGGCUCCAAAAAGCACGCUCCGCGCACAGUCAGCUAGUUCUCCCGCCACAGCCAAAGUCGAAAUGCCGGGGACCACCCCCCCCCCACCCCGCUCCUCCCUUCUCGGCCCGGAACUUCCCUCGGAUUGGCUGCCCGCCCCGCAGCCCUUCUCCAGGUCCCGCCCCACCUACUGUGACUCCGCGGGUCGUGGGUCUCUUUGGCCCACGGAGUUGGGCGGGCGCAGCCGCGGCUAUUUUGCAGCAGGUUCGGGCCAGGCCCAGCCUGCGGCGGCAACAGCGGGUCUCUGACCGACCGUGAGCCUGGGGACUUUGUCUCCAACGACUGCGGGUGCAGCGGCCUGAGUUCUAAGCGCAGGAGAUGAGUAUACAUCAACAUUUUUAGAAGAAAACGUACAUUGUCACCUUGCUGGGAGAGGCCUUAGGAAGUACUGCUAACCAUCUACCCUGUCAUCAGAAUAGAAGUCCUCCUGGAUUCACGUGAGAUACCAAGCUAGAUCCAUAUCAUCAUCCCCCCGCCCCAGGACAAUUAGAAGGCCAUCCCCAUGCGUGACCUCAAAUUGAGGAUUUCAAGAGCUUACUCAGGCUCCAGAAGCAGACGACACCACGAAGUAGACAGCUUUACCCAAGAUCUCCGAUCAAGAAUUUUGUCUCCAUUUAUCUUCCCUUGCAACCUCUGCCUGACCUGCAAAAUUCUCUGACCUAGAAAUUUAAACAAAACCCUUCCUCUUUCAGUUACAGAAGGACUGACUGGAGGUUGCUUGUCUAAACCUAUCCUCCCUCUGUUCCCCCACUACGGGCUCCCUUUCAGACUAUGUCUUGCUUCAGCGAACUCUUACUGCUUUUUCAACAGUUUUAGCAUGGCCACAACACCCACUCACACCAGUCUUUCAGUCUAAUUGCUGGUUAUGUCAGCGUCUAAAUAACGCACCAGAACCUGAACUAGGUUUUGUCCCUGCCAGUGCAAGCACCUGGUGGACCGAUUCUGGACAGUGGAUGUAUGGAAGGCUCUCUGCUUCCUCCUACGGCAGAGUGACUUGGCAUUGGGGAACCCCCAUGGAGGCUCGAGGUCUGUCCUUCACUCAGAUGACACCUUCAAAUCCUCCAAAGAUGUUAUAAAUGAGUUCCAGACUGAUUAUUAUAAUGAUACAAAUGUUUGCCUAGUCACUGGACAGUAUUCCUGGUCUGCAGACCACACAAAUAGGACCUGGAACCGCUCAGCUCUUCCCCUGGUUGGUCUGCCCGAUACCCCAGGCCACAAACGGGUUGACCAAAAUUCUGGAAUGACCUGGUCAGCCUGACAGAGGCACAUGGGAAAUGGAGAUAUACAGAUGCCGACAUAACUAACGACAAAGGCCACCGUGGACACCGAACUCCAACCUGGGAGAAAGCUGUUGACCACUUAAUCUGGGAUGAUCUGCUGUACUCUCCUGAUUUCCCGUGAGCAUUUAAUCUAUGGUCUAAAGGGUCGUUUGUCUGGUAUGAGUUGUAGCUGUCUUAUGAUUAUGGGCAGCAGCAGCAAGGGGGGCUGUAGGGACCAAGUGGAGGUAGCAUUUAUCGUAUUGCACGUGUCACUCCAUUGCUCCUGUCCUUACAUUAUUCUGUUUAAUUCUCACACAGUGUUCUUCCCGUUUUACAGAUGAAUAAAUUGGAAGGGUGGAUAACUUGCUAAAGAUUAUACCAUUACUGGGACUUCCUGGUGGUCCAGUGGUUAAUUAAGACUCUGCACUCCCAAUGCAGGGGGCAUGGGUUCAAUCCCUGGUUGGGGAACUAAGAUCCCACGUGCCGUGCAGCGCAGCCCAAAAAAAAAAAAAAAAAAAAGCCUAUACCAUUACUGAAAAUAAGAGCAAGAUGCAGAACUGGUGUCUAGUGUGCAACCUUUCAUAGAGCAGAGGAAAGAGGAAAAAAUACACAGCCAUUCCUUGGAGAUAUUGUGGGUUUGGUUCCAGACCACUGCAAUAAAGGGAGUCGCACAAAUUUUUUCGUUUCUCUGUGCAAAUAAAAGUUAUGUUUACACUAUACUGUAGUUUAUUAAGUAUGCAGUAGCAACAUGUCUAAAAAACAAUGUACAUCCCUUUAUUAAAAAUAGUUUCUUGCUAGAAAAUGCUAACCAUCACCUGAGCCUUCAUCAAGUCAAUCUUUUUUGCAAUAGUGACUUCACAGAUCACCAUAAGAAAUAUAAUAAUAAUAAUGAAAAAGUUUGAAAUAUUGCGAGAGUUGCCAAAAUGUGACACAGAUGCAAAGUGAGCAAAUGCUGUUGGAAAAAUGGAACCAACAGACUUGCUCCACACAGGGUUGCCACAAACUGUCAAUUUGUAAAAUAUGCAGUAUCUGCAAAGUGCAAUAAAGUGAAGCAAUAAAACGAGGUAUGCCUGUAUGUAUACAUACAUAUGCUUACUCAGCUUUGCAAAAAGACAACUGAAAGUUGAAUAUAAACGAACUAAUGAACAUUAUAGCAAAUUGACAACUUCACAUAGAGAAAAUUAUUUCAAAAGUUAUUUCAAGCUAUGCCAAAAAAUGAACAGUAUUCUGGGUACAUCCUUAGAGGUGGGUUUAUUGUUCAUAGUGAUAUUGGUAUCAAAAGAAGAUAAAAUAUGAAAACUGUUCCAGUGGUACAGGGCAUAGUAAGAGGGGGGCUCCUGAGCAGAAGUCCUCUAUCUGUUCCUUUCCUGUGUGUGUUAAGCAAACAGUUAAACUCUUGCACUGAAACUAGAGAAACCGUUAAAAGAAGAGCGUUCAGCUUUCAGUAUUGGGUAUUUUGUGGUACCUGGAUAGAUGGGGGUCAUGGGAUGCUGAAUUGGAGUGGCAGGAGUGUUCUAAGCAAUUGGGGGAAGUGAUAGGAAAAGAAAUCUAGAUUCUUGACACAAUCUCAAUUUUCUUCUGUAAAAUGGAGAAAAACAGUAAAGGGUAGGUAGGCCACCACUGCUUUCUCGGUGGCCUUUUUGACAAAAACAAUGAUAUAAAGUUUAUUGUUAACGAAUUUCCUUUCAGGAGAAGUUUGAUAGCUACUGACCCUUGGAAUUCAGUGCUCAAGGGUCACUUUUAAAGAGGUUUGAGACAGACUAGAUUAUAAACUUAUUUGUAUACCUAUUGUCUGUUCCCUGGUAGAAUGUAAGCUUCACAAGGACAGGCAUAUUUGUUGAAUCACAAUGAAGAGUGUUGUGGUGAGGCUUGAGUAAUGCAUGUAAAGCUGACCUUGGGCAUUGCUUAACUAAAUGUAAGAUAGAGUUCACUUAGAGCCAAUAUGAGUAGCAGGUUUGAAUUUUGGCAUUGGUUGUUGUCAGAUGUAAAUUUCCAAAAACUUAUGAAUCAAGUUGAUUAUAUGCCAUUUUGGAGUUCUGAUCAUGGCUUACUUUGUUUCCCUUUUCAAGUAUUCGGGUACAUUAGAAACCUUAUGCAUAUAUGCAAAUCUACUUAUUCAGCCCUUAUUUCACACCAUUGAGUUCUAACAAAGUUAGGAGGAAAAGUUGUGAAAUGAGAGUGUAGUAAUUGGAAUGUUAGAAAAUGUCUGUUGGAAGGAUAAGGUCUUAUUCUAUCAACUGGCAUGAGUGAUUUGGAGGUGUGUUUAGCCACACAAUAUUGGGUUAAAGGAUAUGCACCUUUUCUGCUUCCUUAUGUAAAGUUUGUAGGGCAUGAAAAGUUAGAGAAAAUAGUUUCAAAAUUAUUAAUGGACACAUUUUUGAUACUUGGAUCUUAAGUUAUUUUGUAGGACAGAUACUCUCUUUCCAUCAUUUUGUAAGAGAUGGAGCACAAGGUACAUUGGUUGGCAAGAGUUUAUUAGCCAACUGAAAAGCCUCAGAUGUUUUUAACACUUCUUUGAAUUAUUUAUCAACAUUUACCAAGACUCAAUGAAAGAUGCCAGAAAGCAGGGGCCAUUGUAAUCAAUUCUGUUAGAAUUAAGAGUAAUCCUUUGGGGCUUCCCUGGUGGCGCAGUGGUUGAGAAU